UGCGUCACGGCCCGCCCGGCACCGCGCUCGGCACCGCCCAUGGCAACGCCUGUCCGCCGACGGGAUGCACGGCACUCUGCGAUGAUGGUUCCCAAGAGAGGUUAAUCACAUUGCCAUGUGAGCUUGAGCACGUGAGCCACUACAGGAAGUGCAGCACCCAAACAUCCAGGACAGCCAAUGCAGCACAUGGGCACUGAACACCACCAAGUCUUUUAAACUGAGAAGGGAGUGCCCCGGUUACUCGGCGUUCCGCCUGUCUGGGAAGUUCACGGGAGCGCCGCUCGGAACAACGGGCGUCACGUUUCUGUGAGUAAACGCGUAUAGCGGUGAAGGAACAGAUCCUUUGGAGGUGGGAUGGCACUCCUGAUCCCCAUCCUACCGACAGACGUUUCAGCUCCCCCGGAGCGCCGCUUCCAGGUACCGCAAAGUGUGCCGAGGAGCCACCGAGCAGCGGGUCGGACCUUGCUGUCGCUGCAGCUCCUGGAGAGCAAAGCAGCAGGGCGCACGGAGAUCCCUAUCUCGGGGUUACGAGGGCGUUAACCCGAAAGGAGCCUUCUGUACCAGUAGCAGCAAGGCUAAAAUAGUUCUGCUGCCCGGUUAUUUUGGUGUAUAAAAUGACACCAAUUUUUUUUUAAGUUUUACCUCAGUACCUAUGUUAGGAUGUCUGUUACUACAGUGGGGCCAGUUGCUCGUAAGUAGCAUGGAUACUGCUCUCUGUAUGUGUCCUUCUCUUCCCACCGGAGUAUAGGCUCUGCCUCCCUUAUUCACCAGUAGCUCAGUUAGACUUUAAAUUGUGUUAGGCUGUAAUUGGGCGUUAAAUGGUAUUAAGGACUAUAUUUUUCUUCUGUACUUCACACAGAACUCCCUGUUCUCAGAGCAGAUCUCUGCCAUGCCCAUCCCUGCUUCCAGUGCACCCCGAGAAAGGAAAACAGAUUCUUCUGCUUUAACCCUGGGGAGAGCUAGAGGCCCAUCACAUUUAUCACGAUGCCCCAGUUCUAUGUAGCACAUUUUACAGUGCCCCAUUUUGCAGCGUGGCUUUGACAGCUGAUUAUUCCAUUUCCUUUUUUGUUUGGAAACACAAACUGAUGUACAUCCUCUUAAGAAUUUCCUCUUGGACCUGACUUUGCUGACACCAUUCCUGCCAAGCAGCAGUUCUCACUUCAGCCCAUUCUCUCCCUUUAUCAGCAAGAGGCUCGGCCCUGUUCUAGUAACCUUCAUCCUCUUUGCUUUGUAAUCCCGUGCGAUUCCUACUCAGGCUCCCCCCUAGGUAAGCUACAGGCUCAUGUUUGCUGGGGGCUGUGAACUUUCCAGAACAAGAACAAAGACAAAAACCAAAACCUAAGAACACAAGUCACGGUAAUUCCUUUCACUCAUCGUCAACUGUGUAAGAAAUUAAACUGCUGUACGAUGAUGUGCAAUGUUUAGUGAUUGAUUUUAUUAAUGCAGGAAUUCCUGCUUCGCUCCAUACCCAUUCUGAUUUAAAGUGCAACAAUUAGAUCUGAUAUUUUUGUACAUCCAUACUUUGCAAGCGCUGUUCCUCAGACGACGUAGUUCAAAUUAUGCCUUGCAGUUGUAAAACCUGUCAGUUUUAGUACCGUUUUGCUUUAUUAACUAAAAUAAACUGUACAAAAAGCUGUAGAGUUACAUUAGCUUUGAACAAUGUUGGAUACACGUUCUCAGCCGAACUUUAGUGUGCAAACAUUUUACAUUUUUUAAAGUGACAAAAUUAAGCCAGCCUUGAAGUCAGAGUUCAUUACUACAUUACAAAAACAGGAGACGAGAUAUGGCAAAAGAAAUUCCCCACCGAAAUCAACACCAUUGUAUAAUUUUAUUUCUAAUUCUUAAAAAAAUAGAAAUGAAUUUAGAAGAGAAUCACAGUAUAAGGGCCCUAACAUAUUAGACUAUUACCAGGUACAUAAAAAUAGAAGACACAGAUUUCUUUGAAACUUUAAUCCUUUGAUUAAGCAGCAAGCAUAUCACUCUCCAGGCAAACACUGCUUAAAACAAACCCUACCCCCAAAAACAGGACGUGCAAACUGUAUGCACAUACUCUGCAAAGCACACAAUAAAGACAUUUUGCUAUGUACAUACUUAAUUAGUACUACAAACGCUAGGAAAUCCCUACUGUGUGCUACAGUGUUUGUAAAGGAAGAAAUACUACCCAUCUCUGCCCCUCCCGCCCCCUUCAAAUACAGCACCUUUGCCCAGUUAUAGAAUAUUUAAACAAGAUUAAACUGAAUUACAAUGUACUGAACAGUUUUAUAGCAGUUGGUGGCGGCCAACUCUACUGCAACACCCAACAUUCUGCAUACUGAAGUCUAUCGACGAGACAAGACAAAAAUUAGCAAAGGUACAAUACACACACCUGGGAGACUCAAUGCUUU